AACGAACGCUGGCGGCAGGCUUAACACAUGCAAGUCGAACGCCCCGCAAGGGGAGUGGCAGACGGGUGAGUAACGCGUGGGAACGUACCCUUUACUACGGAAUAGCUCCGGGAAACUGGAAUUAAUACCGUAUGUGCCCUUCGGGGGAAAGAUUUAUCGGUAAAGGAUCGGCCCGCGUUGGAUUAGCUAGUUGGUGGGGUAAAGGCCUACCAAGGCGACGAUCCAUAGCUGGUCUGAGAGGAUGAUCAGCCACAUUGGGACUGAGACACGGCCCAAACUCCUACGGGAGGCAGCAGUGGGGAAUAUUGGACAAUGGGCGCAAGCCUGAUCCAGCCAUGCCGCGUGAGUGAUGAAGGUCUUAGGAUUGUAAAGCUCUUUCACCGGGGAAGAUAAUGACGGUACCCGGAGAAGAAGCCCCGGCUAACUUCGUGCCAGCCGCCGCGGUAACAC
rnacentral:rRNA from 1 species